CAUGAAUUCCCAAACGGACCACGGCUUCCUUCGAAAUCGAAUUGGGCCUCGAAUCAGAAUUGAAUCGAAUCCCCGCACCGUCCCCUCCAGUCCAUCCUAUCGCCGCACCGGCCGCCGCCGAUGGAGUCGACGACUUGCUGGUCGUGCGGCGAGGGCGAGGUGGUGCCGGACCCGGACUCCGGCGCGCUCGUCUGCACCUCCUGCGGCCGCGUCCACGACGCCGGCGCCUCGGAGUUCGUCCACCAGGCCACCUUCACGGCCGAGGGCAAGCUGGACCUGCGCACCUCCUCCUACGUCCACCACUCCUCCCACGCCCACUACCUCGACCAGAAGCUCGCGGGGGCCUCCGCCGUCAUCACCUCCACGGCCGCCCGCCUCGGCCUCUCGCCCACCCGCGCCGAGGAGGCCCUCGCCAUGGCCAAAUCCGCCACCGGCGGCAGCCUCGCCACCCCGGGCACCGCCUUCCUCCCGGCCCUCGCCGCCGCCUGCGCCUUCCUCGUCGCGCGCUCCCACCGCCUCCCGCUCUCCCUCGUCGAGGCCGCCGAGGCGGCCGGCUGCGGCGCGGCGGCGCUCCACGACCUCGCCUCGCGCAUCGCCUCCACCCUCUCCCUCCCUCCCCUCCCGUCCUUCGACUACUCCGCCGCGCUCGAGCGCGCCGUGCGGUACUCGCACCCGCUCUCCGCCGUCCAGGGUGAGAAGAAGGAGGCGAUCCUCUCGCAGGCCCGGUUCCUCCUCCGCUGCGCCUCCAAGUGGUCGCUCACCACCGGCAGGCACCCGCUCCCGCUUGUCGCCGGCCUGACUGCCCUCGCCGCAGAGGUGAACGGAGUCACCGGUGUGUCCGUGGAAGACAUUGCCCAGGACAUCUCCGCGGUGAUGCACACCAGCCGCCGCCGAUACAAGGAGCUCGUCGACGCGCUUGUUCAUGUCGCGCGGAAGUUGCUUCCGUGGGGCGCCGACGUCAACGCCAAAAACCUGCUGCUGAAUGCCCCGGUGCUGCUCCGGCUCAUGGAGAUGCGGUCACAGUCGGACCCAUCGGAACAGUUUCUCGAGAGCUUUGCUCCUGACAUGUCCGGCAUUGUGCAGACCUACUCGUCGGUGGACAACGACGAGUCCAAGUACCUCCAGAUUGUUCCCCUGGAUGAUUUGGAUUUCAACAAUUUCGGGCAACAGGGGAAGGAUUCAGAAGGUUCGAAGAUCUCAGAGGAAUGCCUGUCAGAUAUGUACCAGAAUGUCUUAAAGAAGCUGUCUGAGGUAAAGGAACUUGGGAAGUUUGGUAAAGGUGCUAACAAGAGGAAGCGGUGGGGGAGAGGUCUGGAGCUGGAUCCAUGGAUGGAUUCGCAGGAUGAUGGCUGGAUCAAGGACGCGCCUCUUGAGGAGGCAGCGGAUAUUGACAUUGGCUAUGAUGCACCUCCUCCAGCAUUUACUGCUAACAUAGAGCUGCAGAAGCGGAGGAGAGGACGGAUUGAAGCUGCAAAGUGUCGAAUCGAUGCAAUUAGGAAGGCUCCUGCUGUCCGUCUUGCAUAUGCAAACGGUUCACCCGCUGUUCUAAUAAAUGAAGAUGUCUGUCCACCGCAAAAGAUUAUUAGGAAGAAGAAAGGGCAAAAGAGAAUAGAUGGCAGGAAUCAUGAGAUUCAGGGCAACCGUCCGGCUGAGACGUCAAAUGCUCUGAACUGUCAGAAGAGACAGAAAACAGGCCCCUCUGAUGGUAUUGACUGGGAAGACUGUGUUAUCGAGCUCCUGUUAUUACAUGGUGCAAAUGAGGCAGAGAUUGAACAAGGCCAGUACAGAAGAUUAUUGGAGUUGCAUGUCUUCAGUUCAAGAAAUUUCGUGCCUGUGCGCUCUCUGAAGGUCAGUCAAGCUGAUCAUGGGAAGAACAUAUUGUGAGAGAAAUUAUAAGAAACGGUCAAAGGCAAAUCCAACAGUUGAUGAUGCUAGUAAUUUGUACCAAUCAGAUACAAGAAUGCAAGCCUUUCUGGUAAUCUGUGUUCUGUAUGUAAGUAAGAGGCAUCAACGUGCCUCCAUAGAAAACGAGAGCUACAAGGAAUCAACGUUCCAGUUGUCACUGCCAACUUUAACUUCCAUCUUAUACUUUGUAUCUUCAUGGAAUGAUGGCCCGGUCAGGCGAUGUUUCUUCCAGGUCAACCCAGAAAAGGGGGACACAAAAGAAAGGGAAACCAAGAUGUGAUGCCAGUUACAUGAUUGCCGGAACGCCACUAAACAUCAUUAUGCGCACGACAGGGGAGGCAUCCAAUCUUUAUUCCUUUCAUAGCUUUGAAAUGAUUCUGUAGCUGAUCAGCAAUCUACCUUUUUCCUAUAACAUGUAAUAGUUGAUGAGACAGCUGAAAUAACUCCCAAUUUCUCAUGCAGAUGCCCAGAAUGCAGAGUACAUCUCAACAACUAGGCCAAAACACUAGCAGCAGGGGCUGAAAUGAUUAUGGUCAUGCUUGGACAGACAGUCGAUUAAGGGAGAGAUCCGACAUGGCUGCAAUUUGAUAAUGAGGAUAGCAGAGAUAAAAAGUCGCGCUGGCACAUGCAUGGGGCUGCCGCAACCGACGACCACGCGAGCCGAUCGAGUUGUUCCUCCCACUAAACAAUGCAGCUAAGCUAAUUUCCCCCUUGGCUUUAACUAAUCUCGUUUCUUUGUCGCUAAUGUAUGAUCCCAAGCUCUGAAUCAUGGUCCGUUUGAUGAAGAGGAAUUGCUAAUGGGACAGCAGAAGCCUGCAGGCUACUACUGGACUGGAAAGCAGAUUGCAUCUUGGAGAGAGCUUUAUACCUUUUGGGGCAGGGAAAACUAUAAUGAAAUGCCUAGCUUGUUGAAUAAGAGAAGGGGGGGAAAGAGCAGGAUUCCCAAGCCUGUGCAAAGCUGAAGAACAGUUGGGACCAUAGCAAGAAACUGCUUGAUGAUCAAGGGAUCAAAACUCGGCCGAUGAAUCGAAUGCUGCAACUACGACCGUGGGCGUCAAUCGAUGCAGAGGCCAGAGCCGGUGGAUCGAGUCUCCUUUUCAAGAGAAAAAAGGGAAGGAAACAAAUGCUGCACAUUUCGGUUGACU